CUCAUGAGUUGCUGUGGUCUAGCAUCAACAAUGCAUGUUUGUCUGUAUUAAAACAAAUUAUUUAGAAAACAUAAAUUAUAGUUAUGUUAACAAUGAUAAUCUGUUUUAGAACAGGAAAAGAAAGAAAAGCACAUAGAACCAGCAAAGACACCAAAAAAGGAACAUCCAGGUCCAAGUGAAAAACUCAGAAAAGCAAAAGCCGAACAAGCCAAGGAAGAGAUUGCUGCUGCCUCAACAAAAAAGGCCCUGCAUGGAAAGAAAGAAGAGAAAGCCAAGACGGUCGAGCAAGGUAAAAAAAAA